rnacentral:miRNA from 1 species
UAUUAGGUUGGUGCAAAAGUGAUUGUGGAUUUUGUAAUUACGUUUAUGGCAAAAACCGCAAUUACUUUUGCACCAACCU